AUUGAACGCUGGCGGCAUGCUUUACACAUGCAAGUCGAACGGCAGCACGGGGGCAACCCUGGUGGCGAGUGGCGAACGGGUGAGUAAUGCAUCGGAACGUAUCCUUAAGUGGGGGAUAAACGCAUCGAAAGAUGCGCUAAUACCGCAUAAUCUCUGAGGAGAAAAGCAGGGGAUCGCAAGACCUUGCGCUUUUGGAGCGGCCGAUGUCUGAUUAGCAGUUGGUGAGGUAAGGCUUACCAAGGCUUCGAUCAGUAGCUGGUCUGAGAGGACGACCAGCCACACUGGGACUGAGACACGGCCCAGACUCCUACGGGAGGCAGCAGUGGGGAAUUUUGGACAAUGGGGCAACCCUGAUCCAGCCAUGCCGCGUGAGUGAAGAAGGCC
rnacentral:rRNA from 1 species